GGUGUGGCUCGCUUUUUGUUUGCGCGCUCAUUUCCGAGCACAGAUUGGUGUGUGCCUGCUUUUCACGGUGCGUUUUGAACAGAUCGCUCGUCGCAUGCGCUAGAGUAAGGUUGCGAAACGAAGUGAGCACCGCCUAGCCCAAAAGUUGUUUGCCGCGAAUUUGCUGAGUGAGCACGCCGGAAUGCAGGAAAACACUCACACAAGUGAAGGGUAUUCGAGUAGUUUACAACUUUAGCUGGCCCAGUGGACGUCGCAUUGUGUCGUUGAAAGUCCUUUGCGCUAACUGCAGCGUGCCGGUAUACAAAGAAGUUAUGGAAAACGAAACAUAUAGCAUUGUUACCACUACAUUCAUUGCCAACGGAGGCGACGGCUUCAAGUUUGACAAAUUGGUUCAAUGGAAAACAGAAGGUGUCAGUGCGACCGAUGCUUUGCUGGCAUACAUAAGAAAGAUAUCGCCACUCAAAACUCCUGAAGAAGGUCGGGUGAUCGCACUGAACCUGCCACCAAAGCCAGAAAAUGAACUGUUGACAUCUGCUGCUACUGCAACGCCAUUGGCUACACAGGCUACAUUAAUUUCAGAGGAUGGCAGAAUGGCUCAGGAUGACUGGAGGUCUAUGAGAAGAAAUUUUCUUUGGUGACACGAACUUGCGCCGUAAGAUAAAACGUAUGGACUGUUUUAGCCUCAUCGCACAUUGUUACACCAUCUAUCUACUGUCCUUGGUUAUGAAUAAAAAAAUGGCGGAGCAUCGGCUUUCAGAAGGACGAACUGAUGCUCAAGGAACUACAUUAGAAAAAAGAAGAACCCGGUGCCGGAGCCAGUUCUCGAUGGAGCCUGGAAGUCUCACGGCACCAAUUGUUUUGCGUACUUGUGAAAAUUCUGGCAGUGCAUUCUCAACCCGUCCUCUGCGUGGCCCACUUAGCCAAAGUGGCCGCAGUGGCAGCAGCGCAAUUGAA